AUUGAACGCUGGCGGCAUGCCUUACACAUGCAAGUCGAACGGAUUCAAGGGGCUUGCUCCUUGAGUUAGUGGCGAACGGGUGAGUAAAGCAUCGGAACGUACCCAGUCGUGGGGGAUAACGUAGCGAAAGUUACGCUAAUACCGCAUACGAGCUGAGGAUGAAAGCGGGGGACCUUCGGGCCUCGCGCGAUUGGAGCGGCCGAUGUCGGAUUAGCUAGUUGGGGAGGUAAGAGCUCACCAAGGCGACGAUCCGUAGCUGGUCUGAGAGGAUGAUCAGCCACACUGGGACUGAGACACGGCCCAGACUCCUACGGGAGGCAGCAGUGGGGAAUUUUGGACAAUGGGCGAAAGCCUGAUCCAGCCAUGCCGCGUGAGUGAAGAAGGCCUUCGGGUUGUAAAGCUCUUUCAGACAGAAAGAAAUGGCUUCGGUGAAUAUCCGAGGUCGAUGACGGUACCGUAAGAAGAAGCACCGGCUAACUACGUGCCAGCCGCCGCCGUAACAC
rnacentral:rRNA from 1 species